rnacentral:rRNA from 1 species
AGAUCUCUGGGCCGUAACUGACGCUGAGGAGCGAAAGCGUGGGGAGCGAACAGGAUUAGAUACCCUGGUAGUCCACGCCGUAAACGUUGGGCGCUAGAUGUAGGGACCUUUCCACGGUUUCUGUGUCGUAGCUAACGCAUUAAGCGCCCCGCCUGGGGAGUACGGCCGCAAGGCUAAAACUCAAAGGAAUUGACGGGGGCCCGCACAAGCGGCGGAGCAUGCGGAUUAAUUCGAUGCAACGCGAAGAACCUUACCAAGGCUUGACAUACACCGGAAACGGCCAGAGAUGGUCGCCCCCUUGUGGUCGGUGUACAGGUGGUGCAUGGUUGUCGUCAGCUCGUGUCGUGAGAUGUUGGGUUAAGUCCCGCAACGAGCGCAACCCUCGUUCUAUGUUGCCAGCGCGUUAUGGCGGGGACUCAUAGGAGACUGCCGGGGUCAACUCGGAGGAAGGUGGGGAUGACGUCAAAUCAUCAUGCCCCUUAUGUCUUGGGCUUCACGCAUGCUACAAUGGCCGGUACAAAGGGCUGCGAUACCGUAAGGUGGAGCGAAUCCCAAAAAGCCGGUCUCAGUUCGGAUUGAGGUCUGCAACUCGACCUCAUGAAGUCGGAGUCGCUAGUAAUCGCAGAUCAGCAACGCUGCGGUGAAUACGUUCCCGGGCCUUGUACACACCGCCCGUCAAGUCAUGAAAGUCGGUAACACCCGAAGCCGGUGGCCUAACCCUUGUGGAAGGAGCCGUCGAAGGUGGGAUCGGUGAUUAGGACUAAGU